rnacentral:rRNA from 1 species
GAUGAACGCUGGCGGCGUGCCUAAUACAUGCAAGUCGAGCGAACAGACGAGGAGCUUGCUCCUCUGACGUUAGCGGCGGACGGGUGAGUAACACGUGGAUAACCUACCUAUAAGACUGGGAUAACGUCGGGAAACCUGAGCUAAUACCGGAUAAUAUAUUGAACCGCAUGGUUCAAUAGUGAAAGACGGUUUUGCUGUCACUUAUAGAUGGAUCCGCGCCGCAUUAGCUAGUUGGUAAGGUAACGGCUUACCAAGGCAACGAUGCGUAGCCGACCUGAGAGGGUGAUCGGCCACACUGGAACUGAGACACGGUCCAGACUCCUACGGGAGGCAGCAGUAGGGAAUCUUCCGCAAUGGGCGAAAGCCUGACGGAGCAACGCCGCGUGAGUGAUGAAGGUCUUCGGAUCGUAAAACUCUGUUAUUAGGGAAGAACAAAUGUGUAAGUAACUAUGCACGUCUUGACGGCACCUACUCAGAAAGCCACGGCUAACUACGUG